UGUGGUUAUGGUCAUGAUUAUGGUUAUGGUCAUGAUUAUGGUUAUGGUCAUGGUUAUGGAUGUAGAGCUUUGUGGUCAUGGUUAUGGUUAUGGUUAUGGUUAUGGUUAUGGUUAUGCUGUGGUUAUGGUCAUGGUUAUGGUUAUGCUGUGGUUAUGGUCAUGGUUAUGAUUAUGGUUAUGGUCAUGGUUAUGGUUAUGUUAUGGUUAUGGUCAUGGUUAUAGUCAUGGUCAUGGUUAUGGUCAUGAUUAUGGUUAUGGUUAUGGUUAUGGUCAUGGUUAUGGAUGUAGUGCUUCAUGGUCGUGGUUAUGGUUAUGCUGUGGUUAUGGUCACGAUUAUGGUUAUGGUUAUAGUCAUGGUUAUGGAUGUAGAGCUUUGUGGUCAUGGUUAUGGUUAUGGUUAUGGUUAUGGUUAUGGUUAUGGUUAUGCUGUGGUUAUGGUCAUGAUUAUGAUUAUGGUUAUGGUCAUGGUUAUGGUCAUGGUUAUGGUUAUGUUGUUAUGGUUAUGGUUAUGGUCAUGGUUAUGGUUAUGAUUACGGUGAUGAAUGCAGAGAACAGUGGGGGGCACCAGGGCCACUGCCUCACAAUUAAACUCAUAAUUACCAAACCAGGAACCCCCCUCCAGCCCCCCCCCCAUCCCAAAAUCCCACCAUUGUCCAUCGGGGCUCCCCAUUGUCUUUUGGGGUCGCCAUCGUUCCC
rnacentral:lncRNA from 1 species